rnacentral:rRNA from 1 species
GACGAACCGUGCGAACGUUAUUCGGAAUCACUGGGCUUAAAGCGCGUGUAGGCGGGAGGGCACGUCCGUCGCUGAAAUCCCCCGGCUCAACCGGGGAACGGGCGCGGAUACGACCUUCCUGGAGGGGCGUAGGGGGACCUGGAACUUCCGGUGGAGCGGUGAAAUGCGUUGAGAUCGGAAGGAACGCCCGUGGCGAAAGCGAGGUCCUGGACGCCUACUGACGCUGAGACGCGAAAGCCAGGGGAGCGAACGGA